AACGAACGCUGGCGGCAGGCUUAACACAUGCAAGUCGAACGCACCUUUCGGGGUGAGUGGCAGACGGGUGAGUAACGCGUGGGAAUCUACCCUUCUCUACGGGAUACCUCCGGGAAACUGGAAUUAAUACCGUAUACGUCCUGAGGGAGAAAGAUUUAUCGGGGAAGGAUGAGCCCGCGUUGGAUUAGCUAGUUGGUGGGGUAAAGGCCUACCAAGGCGACGAUCCAUAGCUGGUCUAAGAGGAUGAUCAGCCACAUUGGGACUGAGACACGGCCCAAACUCCUACGGGAGGCAGCAGUGGGGAAUAUUGGACAAUGGGCGCAAGCCUGAUCCAGCCAUGCCGCGUGAGUGAUGAAGGCCCUAGGGUUGUAAAGCUCUUUCAGUGGGGACGAUAAUGACGGUACCCACAGAAGAAGCCCCGGCUAACUUCGUG
rnacentral:rRNA from 1 species